GAGAUUUAGGGGAAGGAUCAGUGGACAGCUCAGGAAGUGCCGCUCUCAAACCUGCUGGGCAGCCGGCUCCGUGUGGCUUAAGAAGAGGUGCACAUGGAGGUUGCAGUUGUGUGAAACCCAGCUGAAGAUAUGAACAGCGACGCCGAAUCCAUGCAGUGAUAGAAGUUGGGGUCCAGCUUCUGUAGGAUUACCUCCAAUGCCAGAGACCACCAGCUCCCAAAGAAGCCCAUUCUGGUGGCUCAAAGCCGCAGCCAACAGGACGCAGGCAUGGGGCUGCAGGGAGGUGCCUAAGCCUGGAAUGGGGAGCCCAGAAGACACCGAACUGAGGCAGGGACUGGACCGGAACUCACAGACGGAGCUGCUGCAGCCAGGCCUACAUGGCCACCUUUCUGUGCACCCACAAUUGUCCAGAGAAGAGCCAUUGUCACCAAUCCCAGCCAAAGCCCAGCCAUGAGGCAUCAUCCUUUACUAGCUGGUGGGCCGCACUUAGCUUCUCUGAGCCCCAGCUUCCUCCUGGGUGCAAUGAGGCUCAAGAGAACCUCGCUCACAAGCUACUGGCAGGAUCAAAGGGAAGCAUACAUGUGAAA
rnacentral:lncRNA from 13 species